rnacentral:rRNA from 1 species
GAUGAACGCUGGCGGCGUGCCUAAUACAUGCAAGUCGAGCGAACAGAUGAUGAGCUUGCCGCUCUGACGUUAGCGACGGACGGGUGAUUAACGCGUGGCUUACCUAUCUCUAAGACUGGGAUAACUUCGGGAAAGCGGAGUAAAUACCAGAUAAUAUCUUGACACGCGGGGUUCAAUAGUGAAGUAAGGUUUUGGGAUUAGUUUUAGAUGGAUCCACGCCGCAUCAGCUUGUUGGUAAGGUAACGGCUUACCAAGGCGACGAUGCGUAGCCGGCCUGAGAGGGUGACCGGCCACACUGGGACUGAGACACGGCCCAGACGCCUACGGGAGGCAGCAGUGGGGAAUAUUGCACAAUGGGCGCAAGCCUGAUGCAGCGACGCCGCGUGAGGGAUGACGGCCUUCGGGUUGUAAACCUCUGUUAGCAUCGAAGAAGCGAAAGUGACGGUAGGUGCAGAGAAAGCGCCGGCUAACUACGUG